rnacentral:rRNA from 1 species
GAUGAACGCUGGCGGCGUGCCUAAUACAUGCAAGUCGAGCGAACGGACGAGAAGCUUGCUUCUCUGAUGUUAGCGGCGGACGGGUGAGUAACACGUGGAUAACCUACCUAUAAGACUGGGAUAACUUCGGGAAACCGGAGCUAAUACCGGAUAAUAUUUUGAACCGCAUGGUUCAAAAGUGAAAGACGGUCUUGCUGUCACUUAUAGAUGGAUCCGCGCUGCAUUAGCUAGUUGGUAAGGUAACGGCUUACCAAGGCAACGAUGCAUAGCCGACCUGAGAGGGUGAUCGGCCACACUGGAACUGAGACACGGUCCAGACUCCUACGGGAGGCAGCAGUAGGGAAUCUUCCGCAAUGGGCGAAAGCCUGACGGAGCAACGCCGCGCGAGUGAUGAAGGUCUUCGGAUCGUAAAACUCUGUUAUUAGGGAAGAACAUAUGUGUAAGUAACUGUGCACAUCUUGACGGUACCUAAUCAGAAAGCCACGGCUAACUACGUGCCAGCAGCCGCGGUAAUACGUAGGUGGCAAGCGUUAUCCGGAAUUAUUGGGCGUAAAGCGCGCGUAGGCGGUUUUUUAAGUCUGAUGUGAAAGCCCACGGCUCAACCGUGGAGGGUCAUUGGAAACUGGAAAACUUGAGUGCAGAAGAGGAAAGUGGAAUUCCAUGUGUAGCGGUGAAAUGCGCAGAGAUAUGGAGGAACACCAGUGGCGAAGGCGACUUUCUGGUCUGUAACUGACGCUGAUGUGCGAAAGCGUGGGGAUCAAACAGGAUUAGAUACCCUGGUAGUCCACGCCGUAAACGAUGAGUGCUAAGUGUUAGGGGGUUUCCGCCCCUUAGUGCUGCAGCUAACGCAUUAAGCACUCCGCCUGGGGAGUACGACCGCAAGGUUGAAACUCAAAGGAAUUGACGGGGACCCGCACAAGCGGUGGAGCAUGUGGUUUAAUUCGAAGCAACGCGAAGAACCUUACCAAAUCUUGACAUCCUUUGACAACUCUAGAGAUAGAGCCUUCCCCUUCGGGGGACAAAGUGACAGGUGGUGCAUGGUUGUCGUCAGCUCGUGUCGUGAGAUGUUGGGUUAAGUCCCGCAACGAGCGCAACCCUUAAGCUUAGUUGCCAUCAUUAAGUUGGGCACUCUAAGUUGACUGCCGGUGACAAACCGGAGGAAGGUGGGGAUGACGUCAAAUCAUCAUGCCCCUUAUGAUUUGGGCCACACACGUGCUACAAUGGACAAUACAAAGGGCAGCGAAACCGCGAGGUCAAGCAAAUCCCAUAAAGUUGUUCUCAGUUCGGAUUGUAGUCUGCAACUCGACUACAUGAAGCUGGAAUCGCUAGUAAUCGUAGAUCAGCAUGCUACGGUGAAUACGUUCCCGGGUCU